UUACGGCCAUAUACGUUGAAACACCUGUUCUCGUAUUAUCACUGAAGUUAAGCAACAUCGACCCUGGUCAGUACCUAGAUGAGUGACCUCGUAGAAAUACCAGGUACUA